UACGAAGGGGGCUAGCGUUGCUCGGAAUCACUGGGCGUAAAGCGCACGUAGGCGGCUUACUAAGUCAGGGGUGAAAUCCUGGAGCUCAACUCCAGAACUGCCUUUGAUACUGGAGAGCUUGAGUCCGGAAGAGGUGAGUGGAACUGCGAGUGUAGAGGUGAAAUUCGUAGAUAUUCGCAAGAACACCAGUGGCGAAGGCGGCUCACUGGUCCGGUACUGACGCUGAGGUGCGAAAGCGUGGGGAGCAAACAGG
rnacentral:rRNA from 1 species